UUCUUUUUUUUUUUUUUUUUUGACUCUGCUAUAUUCUUCUAGGUUCUAGCUACGGUCUGCAUUUGGAUUCUGUGUGUGUAACAUUUAGGACAUUUAUUUCAUGUCUGAGUCUAGGGUUUCGGAAUUUUGGGUUUUCCAGUUUGUUACUCUGCUAGUCUGUUGGGAUCAGGGAGACUGGGUUGAGGGAGCGUGGGCGCGUGAUAAAUUUUGUU
rnacentral:misc_RNA from 1 species